rnacentral:rRNA from 1 species
UAAGCCAUGCGAGUCGAAUGUAGCAAUACAUGGCGAACUGCUCAGUAACACGUGGACAACCUGCCCUUAGGACGGGGAUAAACCCGGGAAACUGGGUAUAAUACCCGAUAGGUCUCGAUUGCUGGAAUGCAUCGAGAUUUAAAGCUCCGGCGCCUAAGGAUGGGUCUGCGGCCUAUCAGGUAGUAGUGGGUGUAGCGUACCUACUAGCCUACGACGGGUACGGGUUGUGAGAGCAAGAGCCCGGAGAUGGAUUCUGAGACACGAAUCCAGGCCCUACGGGGUGCAGCAGGCGCGAAAACUUUACAAUGCUGGCAACAGCGAUAAGGGAACCUCGAGUGCCAGGUUACAAAUCUGGCUGUCGAGAUGCCUAAAAAGCAUUUCAUAGCAAGGGCCGGGCAAGACCGGUGCCAGCCGCCGCGGUAACACCGGCGGCUCGAGUGGUAACCGUUAUUAUUGGGUCUAAAGGGUCUGUAGCCGGCCGGAUAAGUCUCUUGAGAAAUCCAGCAGCUCAACUGUUGGGCUUUCAGGAGAUACUGUUCGGCUCGAGGCCGGGAGAGGUGAGAGGUACUUCAGGGGUAGGGGUGAAAUCUUGUAAUCCUUGAAGGACCACCAGUGGCGAAGGCGUCUCACCAGAACGGACCUGACGGCAAGGGACGAAAGCUAGGGGCACGAACCGGAUUAGAUACCCGGGUAGUCCUAGCCGUAAACGAUACUCGCUAGGUGUCGGCCACGGUGCGACCGUUGUCGGUGCCGUAGGGAAGCCGUGAAGCGAGC